rnacentral:tRNA from 1 species
CAAAAAGUAGCUUAAAACAAAGCAUUCAGCUUACAAUUGAAAAAUGUUAGAAACCAACUAACCUUUUUGC